AAGGAGGUGAUGACUAUUUCCCCAGAUGAUCGGAGCUGAUUAUAUUGAGCGCACUAUUUAUCUCUUU